rnacentral:rRNA from 1 species
AGAGUUUGAUCAUGGCUCAGGAUGAACGCUAGCGGCAGGCCUAAUACAUGCAAGUCGAACGGUGGUAGCAAUACCAUAGUGGCGUACGGGUGCGUAACGCGUAACCAACCUACCCACAUCUGGGGGAUAGCCCGCCGAAAGGCGGAUUAAUACCGCAUAAGCUGCUUGACCGGCAUCGGUUUUUCAGUAAAGAUUUAUUGGAUGUGGAUGGGGUUGCGUGACAUUAGCUAGUUGGCGGGGUAACGGCCCACCAAGGCGACGAUGUCUAGGGGAGCUGAGAGGCUGGUCCCCCACACGGGCACUGAGAUACGGGCCCGACUCCUACGGGAGGCAGCAGUAGGGAAUAUUGGGCAAUGGCCGAGAGGCUGACCCAGCCAUGCCGCGUGCAGGAUGAAGGCUUUCUGAGUCGUAAACUGCUUUUGCCAGGGAAGAAAAAAGCGGAUGCGUCCGCUACUGACGGUACCUGGUGAAUAAGCACCGGCUAACUCCGUGCCAGCAGCCGCGGUAAUACGGAGGGUGCAAGCGUUGUCCGGAUUUAUUGGGUUUAAAGGGUGCGUAGGCGGCCGAUUAAGUCUGGGGUGAAAGCCCGUUGCUCAACAACGGAACUGCCCUGGAAACUGGUUGGCUUGAGUACAGACGAGGGUGGCGGAAUGGAUGGUGUAGCGGUGAAAUGCAUAGAUACCAUCCAGAACCCCGAUUGCGAAGGCAGCUGCCUAGACUGUAACUGACGCUGAGGCACGAAAGCGUGGGGAGCGAACAGGAUUAGAUACCCCAGUAGUC